rnacentral:misc_RNA from 1 species
UUUCUGUAGGUGAACCUGCGGAAGGAUCAUUAUUGGAUUUUGAAACUUCAGGCUGCUGCUGGCUCUCCUCGGAGGGCAUGUGCACGCUUGUUGUCCAUUAUUUCUCCCACUGUGCACAAAUUGUAGACCUUUCAGUAGGCCUAUGUUGUUUUUCACAAUCUCUGAGUGUAAUAGAAUGGUUUUGAAUCUUGGGAAAUACAAUACAACUUUCAGCAACGGAUCUCUUGGCUCUC